UAACGGAACCAUGAAGUGACAUCUAUCAUUAUGUCCUCCAAACCAUCCACCUGCCUCUUAGACCCAAUCCCAACCAAACUUUUCAAAGAGACUCUGCCCCUAACUAUUGACACAAUUCUAACUAUAAUUAAUACCUCACUAGUUACUGGCUACGUGCCACAAUCUUUUAAAUUUGCAGUUAUUAAACCACUUCUGAAAAAACCUACU